CUCUCCUCAUCCUCGCCGGAAAUCGCCGCCGCCGCCGCCGCCGGCCGCCGCCGUCGCCGGAAUCCGGAUUUCAACCAAAAUUUCCAGAUUUUCUUCUCUUCCUUCCCUCUUUCCAUUUCUCCAACCAAAAUCAAGAAAUUUAGCCAUUUAAUCCCCCAAAAACCCUAGAACCCGAAGCUAAAAUUGGGGCUUUUGUGAUUUCUUCUUUCCAAGCUCAAAUCAAGGCUAUGGGUUUGGCAAGGAUUUUUGGUGAAGAAGGCCAAGGAGAAGGUAUAUGACGUGGUUUUUGAAGGAGAAAGGGAAACACGAUCGUUAAGGAAGCUUAAGCGGAAAGCAUCAGAGUGUGGAGUACGCCAACAUUUUCCAGGUAGGGUGAGCUGUCCCUUCCUUGUUAGAGGCUUUUCGUUAUAUGUGGAAUGCUCUAGUAUAAUAUUAUGUUGCCUGCAAGUAUGUUUUUGGUUGUUCAUUAGUCGAUGCCUCGUGAUACAUGUGUUUUCAGAACUGAUAAUUGUUGAUUGCGAAAACCGAGGCUAGACUUGCAUGUUGAGAUACUGUACCCUUUGUAUGUUUGUGACCUGAAAGUGAAUGGGACCUAGACGCGUUGAUUCCUAGGGAUCCCACGGUGUCGAUAACCGUGAACCUCCGGAGGGGGCUGUGCUCCUAUGUUUGUCGGGGAAAGGUAAGUACAGACAGUGAACCAGUCAUAGGAGACUCAGAGCCAGGAAAUGGACACUUUCGCUACUUGUAGUCACAAGGACUACAGAGUAGUUGGCUGGUUCUCUUACUCAGGACGAACCAGAUCGG